GAGGGACAACCAUUCGUUCCGUAAGGUCCGGAUGGGGAAACCGGCGAACGGGUGCGUAACACGUGAGGAACCUGCCCCGAAGAUCGGGAUAGCCCGGGGAAACCCGGAUUAAUACCGAAUAUCCUGUCUGGACCGCAUGGUCUGGUUAGGAAAUGGUCCGCCGCUUCGGGAUGGCCUCGCGGCCUAUCANCUAGUUGGUGAGGUAACGGCUUACCAAGGCAAAGACGGGUAGCUGGUCUGAGAGGACGAUCAGCCACACUGGGACUGANACACGGUCCAGACUCCUACGGGAGGCANCANCANGGAAUAUUGCACAAUGGGCGAAAGCCUGAUGCANCGACACCGCGUGCGGGAUGAANGCCCUNGGGUUGUNAACCGCUUUCANGAGGGACGAAAUUGACNGUACCUUCAUAAAUAAAGCCCUGCCAACUACGUUGCCAUCGAUCCGCGGUAAUACCUUAUGGGCCAAACCUUCNUCCGGAUUUAUUGGGCGUAAA
rnacentral:rRNA from 2 species